CAGCCGCCGCGGGAAUACGAUGGGGGCUAGCGUUGUUCGGAUUUACUGGGCGUAAAGGGCGCGUAGGCGGACUGAUAAGUCAGGGGUGAAAUCCCAAGGCUCAACCUUGGAACUGCCUUUGAUACUGUUUGUCUUGAGUUCGAGAGAGGUAAGUGGAACUGCGAGUGUAGAGGUGAAAUUCGUAGAUAUUCGCAAGAACACCAGUGGCGAAGGCGGCUUACUGGCUCGAUACUGACGCUGAGGCGCGAAAGCGUGGGGAGCAAACAGGAUUAGAUACCCCGGUAGUCCCUGUCUCUUAUAC
rnacentral:rRNA from 1 species